rnacentral:tRNA from 1 species
GGGGCGUUAGCUCAGCUGGUAGAGCAGCGGACUUUUAAUCCGUUGGUCACAAGUUCGAAUCUUGUACGCCCUACCA